rnacentral:snoRNA from 1 species
GGUUGUGAUGAGCUUCACCGAACUGAGCACUGCGAUGAUGAAUGCACGUCAGGCUGACG